rnacentral:rRNA from 1 species
UACGUAGGUGGCAAGCGUUAUCCGGAAUUACUGGGCGUAAAGCGCACGCAGGCGGUUCUUUAAGUUUGACGUGAAAGCUCCCGGCUUAACUGGGAGAGGUCGUUGAAGACUGGAGGACUUGAGUUUAGGAGAGGGGUGCAGAAUUCCCGGAGUAGUGGUGGAAUGCGUAGAUAUCGGGAGGAAUACCAGUGGCGAAAGCGGCACCCUAGCCUUUAACUGACGCUCAUGUGCGAAAGCGUGGGGAGCAAACGGG